rfam:Gossypium raimondii Chr13_contig_1142, whole genome shotgun sequence.
CACGUCAGCGUACUUUGCUGACGUGGCAACAAAUCGCUCCCUCGAUGACGCAAUUUGUUGUCACGUUAGCAAAGCGCGUUGACGUGG